rnacentral:rRNA from 1 species
UACGUAGGGCGCAAGCGUUGUCCGGAAUUAUUGGGCGUAAAGAGCGCGCAGGCGGUCGUACAAGUCGCGUGUGAAAGCCCCCGGCUCAACUGGGGAGGGGUCACGCGAUACUGUUCGACUCGAAGGCAGGAGAGGGAAGCAGAAUUCCCGGUGUAGUGGUGAAAUGCGCAGAUAUCAGGAGGAACACCAAUGGCGAAGGCAGCUCGCUGGAACGGUAACUGACGCUGAGGCGCGAAAGCCAGGGGGGAGCGAAACGGG